rnacentral:rRNA from 1 species
GGGGAACAACAGCUGGAAACGGCUGCUAAUACCCCAUAGGCUGAGGAGCAAAAGGAGGAAUCCGCCCAAGGAGGGGCUCGCGUCUGAUUAGUUAGUUGGUGAGGCAAUGGCUUACCAAGGCGACGAUCAGUAGCUGGUCCGAGAGGAUGGUCAGCCACACUGGGACUGAGACACGGCCCAGACUCCUACGGGAGGCAGCAGUGGGGAAUUUUCCGCAAUGGGCGAAAGCCUGACGGAGCAAUGCCGCGUGAAGGCAGAAGGCCCACGGGUCAUGAACUUCUUUUCUCGGAGAAGAAAAAUGACGGUAUCUGAGGAAUAAGCAUCGGCUAACUCUGUGCCAGCAGCCGCGGUAAGACAGA